rnacentral:ncRNA from 2 species
UCAGUCAGACGAGCGGCAGGUGGCCCGGCUGGUUGGCAGGGCCCGAAAAGGGAACCGGGUGCAACUCCCGGACAGACGCGCUACUGUAAUGGCCCGCCACCCCGGUGGCAACGGCUUCCCCACGCAGCCCAUUACCGCCCCCGGGCCGGUGAGAAGGGCGGGGAGUCGGGCCUGAGUCAGGAGACCUGCCUGCCGCUUUUGAUGAUG